GGACGAACGCUGGCGGCGUGCCUAAUACAUGCAAGUCGAGCGGACAGAAGGGAGCUUGCUCCCGGAUGUUAGCGGCGGACGGGUGAGUAACACGUGGGUAACCUGCCUGUAAGACUGGGAUAACUCCGGGAAACCGGAGCUAAUACCGGAUAGUUCCUUGAACCGCAUGGUUCAAGGAUGAAAGACGGUUUCGGCUGUCACUUACAGAUGGACCCGCGGCGCAUUAGCUAGUUGGUGAGGUAACGGCUCACCAAGGCGACGAUGCGUAGCCGACCUGAGAGGGUGAUCGGCCACACUGGGACUGAGACACGGCCCAGACUCCUACGGGAGGCAGCAGUAGGGAAUCUUCCGCAAUGGACGAAAGUCUGACGGAGCAACGCCGCGUGAGUGAUGAAGGUUUUCGGAUCGUAAAGCUCUGUUGUUAGGGAAGAACAAGUGCAAGAGUAACUGCUUGCA
rnacentral:rRNA from 1 species